ACCUUACCCAGGCUCGAACGGCAAGUGACAUCCGGCGAAAGCCGGCUCCCGCAAGGGCAGUUGCCGAGGUGCUGCAUGGCUGUCGUCAGCUCGUGUCGUGAGAUGUUGGGUUAAGUCCCGCAACGAGCGCAACCCUUGUCCGCUGUUGCCAUCAGGUUAAGCUGGGCACUCUGCGGAGACUGCCGGUGAUAAACCGGAGGAAGGUGGGGAUGACGUCAAGUCAGCAUGGCCUUUAUGUCUGGGGCUACACACGUGCUACAAUGGCAGAUACAAACCGUCGCGAGACCGCAAGGUGGAGCUAAUCGGAGAAAGUCUGUCUCAGUUCGGAUUGCAGGCUGCAACUCGCCUGCAUGAAGUUGGAAUCGCUAGUAAUCGCGGAUCAGCACGCCGCGGUGAAUACGUUCCCGGGCCUUGUACACACCGCCCGUCACAUCACGAAAGCUGGCUGUACUAGAAGUCGCCGCGCUAACCCGCAAGGGAGGCAAGCGCCUAAGGUAUGGUUAGUGAUUGGGGUG
rnacentral:rRNA from 1 species